UACGUAGGGCGCAAGCGUUGUCCGGAAUUAUUGGGCGUAAAGAGCUCGUAGGCGGCCAAUUGCGUCCGCUGUGAAAUCCCGGGGCUUAACCCCGGGCGUGCAGUGGAUACGGGCUGGCUAGAGGCAGGCAGGGGAGAACGGAAUUCCCGGUGUAGCGGUGAAAUGCGCAGAUAUCAGGAGGAACACCGGUGGCGAAGGCGGGUCUCUGGGCCGAUACUGACGCUGAGGAGCGAAAGCGUGGGGAGCGAACAGG
rnacentral:rRNA from 1 species